AUUGAACGCUGGCGGCAGGCCUAACACAUGCAAGUCGAGCGGUAGAGAGAAGCUUGCUUCUCUUGAGAGCGGCGGACGGGUGAGUAAUGCCUAGGAAUCUGCCUGGUAGUGGGGGAUAACGUUCGGAAACGGACGCUAAUACCGCAUACGUCCUACGGGAGAAAGCAGGGGACCUUCGGGCCUUGCGCUAUCAGAUGAGCCUAGGUCGGAUUAGCUAGUUGGUGGGGUAAUGGCUCACCAAGGCGACGAUCCGUAACUGGUCUGAGAGGAUGAUCAGUCACACUGGAACUGAGACACGGUCCAGACUCCUACGGGAGGCAGCAGUGGGGAAUAUUGGACAAUGGGCGAAAGCCUGAUCCAGCCAUGCCGCGUGUGUGAAGAAGGUCUUCGGAUUGUAAAGCACUUUAAGUUGGGAGGAAGGGCAGUAAAUUAAUACUUUGCUGUUUUGACGUUACCGACAGAAUAAGCACCGGCUAACUCUG
rnacentral:rRNA from 1 species